rnacentral:rRNA from 1 species
CACGGCCUACGGGGGGCAGCAGUGGGGAAUAUUGCACAAUGGGGGAAACCCUGAUGCAGCGACGCCGCGUGAGUGAAGAAGUAUUCCGGUAUGUAAAACUCUAUCAGCAGGGAAGAAAAUGACGGUACCUGACUAAGAAGCCCCGGCUAACUACGUGCCAGCAGCCGCGGUAAUACGUAGGGGGCAAGCGUUAUCCGGAUUUACUAGGUGUAAAGGGAGCGUAGACGGCAGCGCAAGUCUGAAGUGAAAUCCCAUGGCUUAACCAUGGAACUGCUUUGGAAACUGUGCAGCUGGAGUGCAGGAGG